AGGAAGAAUGAUGGGAGAUCUGGGGAGCAGGAUCGUUGCCUUGCUGUUGGCCAUCUCCACAGUUGUAUCGGGUCAAGCUAGAGUCACCCAGGAGCACCGAUUUCUUUCAAUUAAGGAAAGAGACUCCAUCCGUUUGAAAUGCUCCUAUUCGGAAACAGCUUCUAAUCUUCAGUGGUACAAGCAAUAUCCAGGAGGCCAGCCAGAGUUCAUGAUGAACUUGUAUUCAUCAAAGACUGUAACAAAGGAUAAUUUCGAGAUGACUCUGGACACAAAUAACAAGACCACCUCUUUGUAUCUGAAGAACACCUCAACUUAAGGAUUCAGCUGUCUAUUUCUGUGCAUGGAGCACAGUGCUAC